rnacentral:rRNA from 1 species
AUGAUGUUGAGGUGCUUGCUACUCCUGGCUAUCUUCUUUUUGACAGGACCAACAACACAUGGUGGCGAGUCACGGCCAGUGGUGCCAGCAGUCUUUCUGUUUGGUGACUCGCUGGUCGAUGUGGGCAACAAUGACUACUUCCUCACGGUCGCCAAAGCCAACUUCCCUCCCUACGGCAGGGACUUCAAAAACCAAGUUGCCACAGGGAGGUUUGGAAAUGGAAAACUGCUUAGCGAUAUCAUAGCUGAAAAGGUGGGGUUUACUGGCUCUCCCCCGCCAUAUCUCGGCAUGCGUGCAUCAGGGCAGAACCUAAUGACCGGGGCCAACUUCGCAUCAGCUGGAUCGGGCUAUUAUGAUCCCACGGCACUUGAGUUUAAAGUCAUCCCGCUAUCCCAACAAUUGGAAUAUUUCAAAGAGUACAAAUCUAAGCUAACAGUGGUUGCCGGUAACAGUCAGUCUCAUGCAAUCAUCUCUGGAGCACUCUACAUUAUCAGUGCUGGUUCAAAUGAUUUUGGCCCGAACUACUACAUCAAUCCCUUACUCUUCAAGACAUUGACCGUUGACCAAUUUGCUGAUUUGAUAGUCAGCAUCUUCAGCAACACCGUCACGCAACUUCAUGGCAUGGGGGCAAGGCGCAUCGGUGUAUUUUCCUUGCCACCAUUAGGUUGUUUUCCACUCGCGAUCACGGUGUUCGGCCAUGGGAGGGGCGGGUGUGUCUCCAGGCUCAAUCGCGGCUCUCAGAUAUACAACAAAAAGUUAAACAUCGCUGUCAAUACACUGUCAAGGCAAUACCAUGACCUCAAGAUUGCUGUUCUUGACAUCUACACGCCUCUAUAUAAUAUUGCAAACUCUCCUAGAUCACAAGGGUUUAUCGAGGCAAGGCGGUCAUGCUGCGCAACUGGUACAAUAGAAACAUCAGUGUUUCUAUGCAAUCCCUUGUCAAUUGGGACUUGUCCGAACGCGACAUCAUACGUAUACUGGGACGUCGCCCACCCGUCAGAGAAGACAAACCAACUGAUAGUAGACUCAUUUCUCGUUGAGCUCGGCAGCCUGGCUGCUUAA